rnacentral:rRNA from 1 species
GACAACUAGGAUGUUGGCUUAGAAGCAGCCAUCAUUUAAAGAGUGCGUAAUAGCUCACUAGUCGAGUGACACUGCGCCGAAAAUGUACCGGGGCUAAACAUAUUACCGAAGCUGUGGAUUGUCCUUUGGACAAUGGUAGGAGAGCGUUCUAAGGGCGUUGAAGCAUGAUCGUAAGGACAUGUGGAGCGCUUAGAAGUGAGAAUGCCGGUGUGAGUAGCGAAAGACGGGUGAGAAUCCCGUCCACCGAUUGACUAAGGUUUCCAGAGGAAGGCUCGUCCGCUCUGGGUUAGUCGGGUCCUAAGCUGAGGCCGACAGGCGUAGGCGAUGGAUAACAGGUUGAUAUUCCUGUACCACCUAUAAUCGUUUUAAUCGAUGGGGGGACGCAGUAGGAUAGGCGAAGCGUGCGAUUGGAUUGCACGUCUAAGCAGUAAGGCUGAGUAUUAGGCAAAUCCGGUACUCGUUAAGGCUGAGCUGUGAUGGGGAGAAGACAUUGAGUCUUCGAGUCGUUGAUUUCACACUGCCGAGAAAAGCCUCUAGAUAGAAAAUAGGUGCCCGUACCGCAAACCGACACAGGUAGUCAAGAUGAGAAUUCUAAGGUGAGCGAGCGAACUCUCGUUAAGGAACUCGGCAAAAUGACCCCGUAACUUCGGGAGAAGGGGUGCUCUUUAGGGUUAACGCCCAGAAGAGCCGCAGUGAAUAGGCCCAAGCGACUGUUUAUCAAAAACACAGGUCUCUGCUAAACCGUAAGGUGAUGUAUAGGGGCUGACGCCUGCCCGGUGCUGGAAGGUUAAGAGGAGUGGUUAGCUUCUGCGAAGCUACGAAUCGAAGCCCCAGUAAACGGCGGCCGUAACUAUAACGGUCCUAAGGUAGCGAAAUUCCUUGUCGGGUAAGUUCCGACCCGCACGAAAGGCGUAACGAUUUGGGCACUGUCUCAACGAGAGACUCGGUGAAAUCAUAGUACCUGUGAAGAUGCAGGUUACCCGCGACAGGACGGAAAGACCCCGUGGAGCUUUACUGUAGCCUGAUAUUGAAAUUCGGCACAGCUUGUACAGGAUAGGUAGGAGCCUUUGAAACGUGAGCGCUAGCUUACGUGGAGGCGCUGGUGGGAUACUACCCUAGCUGUGUUGGCUUUCUAACCCGCACCACUUAUCGUGGUGGGAGACAGUGUCA